rnacentral:rRNA from 1 species
UACGAAGGGGGCUAGCGUUGCUCGGAAUUACUGGGCGUAAAGCGCACGUAGGCGGUCUUUUAAGUCGGGGGUGAAAUCCUGGAGCUCAACUCCAGAACUGCCUUCGAUACUGGAAGACUUGAGUCCGGGAGAGGUGAGUGGAACUGCGAGUGUAGAGGUGAAAUUCGUAGAUAUUCGCGAGAACACCAGUGGCGAAGGCGGCUCACUGGCCCGGUACUGACGCUGAGGUGCGAAAGCGUGGGGAGCAAACAGG